CGCGCAGGUGGUUCCUUAAGUCUGAUGUGAAAGCCCCCGGCUCAACCGGGGAGGGUCAUUGGAAACUGGGGAACUUGAGUGCAGAAGAGGAUAGUGGAAUUCCAAGUGUAGCGGUGAAAUGCGUAGAGAUUUGGAGGAACACCAGUGGCGAAGGCGACUGUCUGGUCUGUAACUGACACUGAGGCGCGAAAGCGUGGGGAGCAAACA
rnacentral:rRNA from 1 species